UCAUUUGUUUCACUGGCUUUUCCCCUGAAAUCUGAUUGCCCCCUGAAGCGCCCCGUUCGGUCAUCGCCGAUUACGUCAGCGCACUCCCAUUGGCUGAGUGGGUUCGUUUGAAAUUUAACCCGCGUAUUUUUUUUCCUACCGCAUCUCGUAACGGCUGCUGCUCCGACAGUGCGUUUACAUCAUCUUCGUCUACUUAAACUUCAAUGCCUGGAAGUUAUGCUGUAUUCGAGGCAACGUUUCCACCAACAACUGAUAAAAACUGAAAACGCCCCCUCAACUUGAAAUGUCAGAUGUCAUCAACUUGGGGUAGUCUGUUUUUUUGAGUUACUACCAGUUCCUUGCACGUUUAUGGAAUGAGGUCAAAUCAACAUGACUGUGCACACUGUGAACAGUAGUAGCUCCUGAAACCACUGUUGCCCCUGACAUUAAUACCAGUCUGAGAUUAGGCCUGCUGAUGACAGUGAUGGUGUAAUGUGGGUGUAUGUGCUGUGGGUGGUGGGAGUCUGUCUUCUUAUCACCAUCAUUGUGCUCUCCGUCUGCUCUCUCAGACACAGAAUGCCAUUCAUGCCUAAAAAGAGCAAGGAGAGUGUCUCUUCGGCCUGCUCUUGUUCCUCUGCAAUCAUCAGGAAGGGGAAGGCAUCCACCAGUGUGAACUACUUUCCUCCCUGUGAAACUUAUAGGUCUUGAGCAAACAAGCUGUUUCCCUGCCAAGGCCAGUGUUCUGUGAAAACACACACACCAAACAUCUCAUCUAACAAAAGGAAAUCUUUUGGAUCUUUUUUUUUUUAUUAAAAGAUGCAGUAUUAAAAAAACACCCACAAGGUCAAAACAGCAACAUAUUCCUAUCCAUGUGGGGUCAUUUGGUCCCAACCAAGAUAUAAAAACAACCCAUCCUCAUCUGGGUGACACUGGAUAGUGUGAUUAUAAAUCAUUUCUCUUCUAUAACUGUAAACCAUAAAGUCAAACAGUGCUAAGUGUGUCAAAUGGAACUUGAAAUGAGCAUCAUUAGAGUUGCAUCAACCUGAAGUUAUCAACUGUUCAAUUAUAUAUACACUAUAUGGCCAAAAGUAUGUGGACACCUGACCAUCACAUCAUAUGUGAUUCUUCCCCAAACUGUUGCCACAAAGUUGGAAGCACACAUUUUCUAGAAUGUCUUUGUAUACUGUAGUAUUAAGAUUUCCCUUCACUGGAACUAAGAGGCCUAAAGCUGUUCCAGCAUGACAAUGCCCCUGUACACAAAGCGCGCUCCAUGUAGACAUUGUUUGCCAAGGUUGGAGUGCAGGAAGCCCUGACCUCAACCCCACUGAACACCUUUGGGAUGAAUUGAAAUGCCGACUGUACGUCCGGCCGUCUCAUCUGACAUCAGUGUCAAGCCUCACUAAUGCUCAUGGGGCUGAAUGGGAAAUUCCCACAGCCACAGUCCAAGAUGUAAUGGUACCCUUCCCAGAAGAGUGGAGGCUGUUAUAGCGGCAAGGGGGCAACAUUGGAAUGGGAUUUUAAACAAGCACAAUGUUACAAGAAGCUUUUAGAGACCUUGUGUCAGUUUGAAAAUGAAAACCAUCAAUAUGUAGGGUAGCUGAACUUUUGUGCAGACAGUUUCUCUGUGUUAUAUGAGACAUGGACAGUAAUUAAAUCCAAAUAACUGGUUACAGACAGUAUACCAAAAGUUAGCUACAUUACCCAAACCAGGGGAGGAUUUAUUGAUGUGGAAUGCUAGAAAAGAGAAAAAUGUUACAAGCCUUAAAAGUCACGAGUGUCUCUUUCUGACCUUGACUAAGUGAGGGGGUUGCCAGUUACACACUUAGAGAACAUGUGUGGGCCCACACCAAUACGAUCCUCUGUAGCUCUGUAUGAGAAAACUAAGUGUAACUGGUAAACUCAUAAUCCAGUAACUUGGAGGUCCACUCUGCACUUUUACUUCACUGGUCACUUUUACUCAUGUAACUUGUCACUUUGGAUUCAGUCACUUUAUUCUGGUCACUUUAGAACUAGGGUAAUAUCACUAUAUUCCAUAUAUAGUGUUUUAUUUUAUUUUUUAUUUUACUUUAUCUUAAUUAAUUUACUUUUUAUUUUAUUUAUUUUAUACUGUUUGUUCUUUUUUUUUUUUCUUUUCCAGGGCUAUUUUUAUACUUUCUACACAUUCUGCUGUUUUGUAGUAAUUUUCGGUUUCUUCUGUGUAUAUAUACCUAUAUAGAGCAAGUGUUGGCAAGAAAUUUCCCACUGGGAUGAAUAAUUCUUAAUCUCAGCUUGUAUUAUCUUAAACUGAAGGUUAAAUCAUUAGAAACAGCCUCAGAGCAAAGUGGUGGACAACCUCUUGCUACAGCAGACAUGAUGAGCUACCAAGACAAUGUGUUCCCAAUGCCAAGUGUAUAUCAUGCAGUAUAUUUCAUUACUUUGUUUUUUCUUUGGUGACUCUUCUGCCAUCGCCAAAGCCCUCUUUCUCUCUCAGACAUACACACUCAAAGUAGAUACUUACUCUUGGGGGUUUUGGAUUAACACAUGACUUCCUCUAUUGCUUGUAAAAGCAGCCUGAGACUUGAACUACUGCUAUGACAGGUUUUGAUAUGCAGCUUGAGAGGAAACGUUACUGCCCAGUUUUUUUCUUCCUACUAAAAGAUUUCAAAAGCAUCACACAUUUGCAAUACUUGAGAAGAAAUAACUGAAUUUGACCCAUGUCUUCCUUAUACACUACCCCACAUUUACUGCUGCAUUGUCUUGUUUUUAUUAGAAUCUUUUAUUAGAAUCUAAUCUAAUUAGAUUAGAAUCUAAUCUAACUGAGAUUUUAGGCAACUAUAAUUAAGAGCUGUAGAGUCAUACAGCAAUACUAAUUACACAUUCUGAGACUGUCUUUGUUAUUUGCAAUACUCAGAAGUAAAUGAGUGAAUUUGACCCAUAUCUUCCUUAUACACUACGGCACAUUUACUGCUGCAUUGUCUUGUAAUCACUCAUCUUUUUUAGAAUCUAAGUCAUAUUCACGCCUUCUUUUUACCUCCUUAAAUGUGUGUCUAGGAAUUAUUAAUAAACAACAGCCUCUGAGACAAAAAGCAAAAGCCACAUAUCUUUAUCUGCCUAAAUGUAUUCAAUACCAAUAAUUUAUAUUUUAGGCAACUAGAGUUAAGAUCUUAUACAACAAAAGAGCCAUACAACAAUACUAACUUAAUCUCCUCUUUACCUACUUGAUUGAUGAGUGGGUAAUACUGUUAUUUACUUUGUAGAAAUCUAUUAUAAUUUAACAGUAGCUGACGCAGGGACUGACUGGGGCAAAAAUUCAUUCAACCCUGGCAUUUGUCUCAUUGACUGGUGCUACCUCAAAACUAUAAGACCUGUAUCACAACUUGCAUGGCCUAAGCAAUGAGUCAAUGUCAAAUAGAACAAAAAAGAUACAGUACAAUAGAAAAAAAUGUAAUAUGCUUGCUAGCCUAGUUUUUGUCAAAGCAUGAGGCAGUUAACAUCACUGCGAACAUAACCUGUAGCUUGUGUCUCUUCCUCUUUCUUCACAGCUUCAUCUUCAUCCUCUACCAGUGACUCUGAAUUGGUGGCUGGUGCUGUGGGGUUAUUGGUGCUAUGAAGAAUGAUCUACACCACUGCUAGUUUUACCACUUUUUUUUUGGUGGCCUGGCCCACAAUGUGGGGGGUGCUCACCAUUUUACACAUAAAUAUUUAUAUAUGUAUUAAUGAUGUUAAUAAGUAAUAUAUGAUAUAUCUUAUGAGGGUUGGUAAACUACACAAUAAAUAGGAAAAGAGAGUGGUAGUGUGAAGAAUAGAAGUUCACUAUACUAUAAUGUAUAUGUGACAAAUAAAAAAAAAAGUGUGGUAUUUUCAUUAAUGAUUAAUAACUGUGUGGUUUUGCAACUAAUAAUUAAUCACUUUUCUUCAUAGUUAUGAUAAUACAAGUUGAAUUUGAAUUCAUCCUGUAUGUGACUAUAUACCUGACACACUUUUCAUGCUAAUGGAAAUAUUUGGACUUUAUGUGCUGCUGCCUGCUUGUCUUACUCUGAGCAUACUCUGAUAGAGUCAAGGUCAGGUUUGAGCAUAUUAUUCAGUAUAUAAGGAAAUUAGACCCUUCACAGCACACUGUUUGUAUGUGCAUUUAUAGAAGUAGUACAAUAACUAACACCAUUUAAUAUUUUAUGACAAUGGUGUAAAUUAAUGGUUUAUUGUCAGUAAUAGUUUUUUGGUGUAGCAACAAGUACUUGUAAGCAAUGUAAGACAUGGCUAUAAUCCUUCCUCUUGGGCACGGUAAUCCCCGCUGUUGGGGGGAUGUGGCUAAUGUGGUAGUGUGGCUUCUGAAUGCUUGCUGCUGUACAUCUUAAAGGGAUUUUUGUAUUAAAAUGUAUUCUCACAAAGCUUGUGGACCUUAUGCACAAGUAUGGAACAUUUUCUUUAAAACAUGGGUCAUUUUUCUGUAAUAAACCCAACUGCACUUAAAUAUACAGAAGAAAAUUUUGAAAAAACUGGCUGCUUUUAAUGAGGUGUUAAAAAAUACGGAGGAAUGUGAAGGAGCAUAAAUCUUUUGAUGUGCAUAUAGAAUAGGACUUAAGGACAAUACAGGUGGAGUGCAACCCUUCAUGAAUACAUACAG